rnacentral:lncRNA from 1 species
UGACUCAGAAGAGAUAAGACUAGAGGCAGAGAUACUAGCUAAGAAGCUGUUGCAACAAUGAAAGAAGAAAUGAUGAGAACCUAAACUAAGGCAAUACUAAUAGAAGCAAAGAGAAGGGAAGAGAUUUCACAAGUUUAUAAGAAGAAAGUGGUAGGACUUGAAAGUUAAUUGGAUGUAAAGACCAAAGCAAGGGGCAGUCAAGGAUGGCUCCUGGAUUUCUGGCUUGAGAGACUAGGUGGAUGAAAGAGCAGAUGAGAACACCAAAGACAGAAUAUAUGGUUCUUCUAGAAGAUCCACUUUCAAUUUUACUAAAGUGAAUGACCCACUUUGAUGAAAAGAAUAAUGACUUCUAAGGUCUCUUACAACUCUAAUGUUACAAUUCUAUUGUUCCAUCUGGAAUUGCCUUUUGAAGACAGCACACCUGUGGCCUAAAACUUCCUUGGUGAACAUGUGAAAUAUUUUUUAAUGAAAGCCCAUUACAUAUAAAGCCAUACAACCCCAAACAUGCAGUGAUAAUGCUUAUAGCAAAGAAAAACCAAGUAAAGACACUAUCUACAUUUACCUACUCUGAUCCCAAUUGGCUGCAAACAGCAAAAGAAUCUUCCUGCCGUAAUGGUCUCGGUUUUCCAGCACCCCGGGGAACCCAUCGAUCAGAGCCCUCUUAAUGCCGGGAUCAUCUG